rnacentral:lncRNA from 1 species
AUGUGUACAUUUAGGUUGUUACUUUUUUUUUUUUUUGCCAUUAUAAACAAUCCUGCAAUCAUGUCUCUUUAUACUCAUAUGUAAGAGUUUCUCCAGGGACUGUACCUAGAAGUGAAAUUAGUGAGUGAUAGGGUAGUGCUUUCUUCAGCUACUAUCCAGCUGAGAUUCUCUCAAACUUUCUGGAGAGCUUUGGUUAGAAAUAGUGUCCUGGAGUUUCAGCCCCCUUUUUUCUCUCUGCCUUUUUCAU